rnacentral:rRNA from 1 species
AGCGAACGCUGGCGGCAGGCCUAACACAUGCAAGUCGAACGAACUCUUCGGAGUUAGUGGCGGACGGGUGAGUAACACGUGGGAACGUGCCUUUUGGUUCGGAAUAACUCAGGGAAACUUGUGCUAAUACCGAAUGUGCCCUUCGGGGGAAAGAUUUAUCGCCAUUAGAGCGGCCCGCGUCUGAUUAGCUAGUUGGUGAGGUAACGGCUCACCAAGGCGACUAUCAGUAGCUGGUCUGAGAGGAUGACCAGCCACACUGGGACUGAGACACGGCCCAGACUCCUACGGGAGGCAGCAGUGGGGAAUCUUGCGCAAUGGGCGAAAGCCUGACGCAGCCAUGCCGCGUGAAUGAUGAAGGUCUUAGGAUUGUAAAAUUCUUUCACCGGGGACGAUAAUGACGGUACCCGGAGAAGAAGCCCCGGCUAACUUCGUG